rnacentral:rRNA from 1 species
GGCGUGCCUUUUGUAGAAUGAACCGGCGAGUUACGAUUUGAUGCAAGGUUAAGCAGUAAAUGUGGAGCCGUAGCGAAAGCGAGUCUGAAUAGGGCGUUUAGUAUUUGGUCGUAGACCCGAAACCAGGUGAUCUACCCUUGGUCAGGUUGAAGUUCAGGUAACACUGAAUGGAGGACCGAACCGACUUACGUUGAAAAGUGAGCGGAUGAACUGAGGGUAGCGGAGAAAUUCCAAUCGAACCUGGAGAUAGCUGGUUCUCUCCGAAAUAGCUUUAGGGCUAGCCUCAAGUGAUGAUUAUUGGAGGUAGAGCACUGUUUGGACGAGGGGCCCCUCUCGGGUUACCGAAUUCAGACAAACUCCGAAUGCCAAUUAAUUUAACUUGGGAGUCAGAACAUGGGUGAUAAGGUCCGUGUUCGAAAGGGAAACAGCCCAGACCACCAGCUAAGGUCCCAAAAUAUAUGUUAAGUGGAAAAGGAUGUGGCGUUGCCCAGACAACUAGGAUGUUGGCUUAGAAGCAGCCAUCAUUUAAAGAGUGCGUAAUAGCUCACUAGUCGAGUGACACUGCGCCGAAAAUGUACCGGGGCUAAACAUAUUACCGAAGCUGUGGAUUGUCCUUUGGACAAUGGUAGGAGAGCGUUCUAAGGGCGUUGAAGCAUGAUCGUAAGGACAUGUGGAGCGCUUAGAAGUGAGAAUGCCGGUGUGAGUAGCGAAAGACGGGUGAGAAUCCCGUCCACCGAUUGACUAAGGUUUCCAGAGGAAGGCUCGUCCGCUCUGGGUUAGUCGGGUCCUAAGCUGAGGCCGACAGGCGUAGGCGAUGGAUAACAGGUUGAUAUUCCUGUACCACCUAUAAUCGUUUUAAUCGAUGGGGGGACGCAGUAGGAUAGGCGAAGCGUGCGAUUGGAUUGCACGUCUAAGCAGUAAGGCUGAGUAUUAGGCAAAUCCGGUACUCAUUAAGGCUGAGCUGUGAUGGGGAGAAGACAUUGUGUCUUCGAGUCGUUGAUUUCACACUGCCGAGAAAAGCCUCUAGAUAGAAAAUAGGUGCCCGUACCGCAAACCGACACAGGUAGUCAAGAUGAGAAUUCUAAGGUGAGCGAGCGAACUCUCGUUAAGGAACUCGGCAAAAUGACCCCGUAACUUCGGGAGAAGGGGUGCUCUUUAGGGUUAACGCCCAGAAGAGCCGCAGUGAAUAGGCCCAAGCGACUGUUUAUCAAAAACACAGGUCUCUGCUAAACCGUAAGGUGAUGUAUAGGGGCUGACGCCUGCCCGGUGCUGGAAGGUUAAGAGGAGUGGUUAGCUUCUGCGAAGCUACGAAUCGAAGCCCCAGUAAACGGCGGCCGUAACUAUAACGGUCCUAAGGUAGCGAAAUUCCUUGUCGGGUAAGUUCCGACCCGCACGAAAGGCGUAACGAUUUGGGCACUGUCUCAACGAGAGACUCGGUGAAAUCAUAGUACCUGUGAAGAUGCAGGUUACCCGCGACAGGACGGAAAGACCCCGUGGAGCUUUACUGUAGCCUGAUAUUGAAAUUCGGCACAGCUUGUACAGGAUAGGUAGGAGCCUUUGAAACGUGAGCGCUAGCUUACGUGGAGGCGCUGGUGGGAUACUACCCUAGCUGUGUUGGCUUUCUAACCCGCACCACUUAUCGUGGUGGGAGACAGUGUCAGGCGGGCAGUUUGACUGGGGCGGUCGCCUCCUAAAAGGUAACGGAGGCGCUCAAAGGUUCCCUCAGAAUGGUUGGAAAUCAUUCAUAGAGUGUAAAGGCAUAAGGGAGCUUGACUGCGAGACCUACAAGUCGAGCAGGGUCGAAAGACGGACUUAGUGAUCCGGUGGUUCCGCAUGGAAGGGCCAUCGCUCAACGGAUAAAAGCUACCCCGGGGAUAACAGGCUUAUCUCCCCCAAGAGUUCACAUCGACGGGGAGGUUUGGCACCUCGAUGUCGGCUCAUCGCAUCCUGGGGCUGUAGUCGGUCCCAAGGGUUGGGCUGUUCGCCCAUUAAAGCGGUACGCGAGCUGGGUUCAGAACGUCGUGAGACAGUUCGGUCCCUAUCCGUCGUGGGCGUAGGAAAUUUGAGAGGAGCUGUCCUUAGUACGAGAGGACCGGGAUGGACAUACCUCUGGUGUACCAGUUGUCGUGCCAACGGCAUAGCUGGGUAGCUAUGUGUGGACGGGAUAAGUGCUGAAAGCAUCUAAGCAUGAAGCCCCCCUCAAGAUGAGAUUUCCCAACUUCGGUUAUAAGAUCCCUCAAAGAUGAUGAGGUUAAUAGGUUCGAGGUGGAAGCAUGGUGACAUGUGGAGCUGACGAAUACUAA